UCAGACGCUUGCUGAAAACAUCUCAAAACAAGUGGAGCACUGUGAGUAUGACGGUUAAACUUCUCACGUCAAUAAGCCCGGGCUAAACUAGGCUAACUUUGUUAUAGGUAGUUUAGUGCUCUUCAUUAUGGGGCGACGUUUGUAAACUGAAUCAUGCUGAAAUUAAUGGCAACAUUUUUCCACAUUUAGCUCAAAACCUUACAAAAACAUGUUUUUUCGAGUCAUUUUUUACAGAGUGCCUUAUCUGAGACUUUAACAUGCUUAUGGCGGAGUGUAACAACUCUGGAAGAGCAGUGCACGGUCUGGACAGAGGGACCUUCCUAAGCAUGCUGCACAGGAUCUUUGGGCUGACUGAUGACAGGAUCACGGGUAGAGUACCACUUACUUUUGCACCCUACUGUUGCCUUCUCAGCUGUCUUGAGAUAUGUUGGUGCCAUCAAAUUCAAACUAUUAGGAGACCCUCCACAUGACAGAAGAUCGCAUCCAGAACAUGGACCUAGCAGACCGUGAGCUGUAUGAGCGUCGGGAGGCAGCCUUUGGCCAGCUGGAGGAGCUCCGCUGGAAGCCCUGGCGUGCUCCUGACUAUGAUCGUAUCGUCUAUGGUACUCGUGUACUUAAGCCCUGUGUUUUUCUUUGGUCUUUGGUCCUCCACAUGACACAAACAGAGCUAAUAUUGUUUUUGAAAUAGUAAAAUGUCAAUAAAAUGGUGGCAAGUAAACUAAAUCUCCAAAUUAUCAACAACAAUUCAACAAUUUCUUCAGUACGAACAAUUAAAAUCUAA